ACGAACGCUGGCGGCGUGCUUAACACAUGCAAGUCGAACGGAAAGGCCCUGCUUUUGUGGGGUGCUCGAGUGGCGAACGGGUGAGUAACACGUGAGUAACCUGCCCUUGACUUUGGGAUAACUUCGGGAAACUGGGGCUAAUACCGGAUAGGAGCUCCUGCUGCAUGGUGGGGGUUGGAAAGUUUCGGCGGUUGGGGAUGGACUCGCGGCUUAUCAGCUUGUUGGUGGGGUAGUGGCUUACCAAGGCUUUGACGGGUAGCCGGCCUGAGAGGGUGACCGGCCACAUUGGGACUGAGAUACGGCCCAGACUCCUACGGGAGGCAGCAGUGGGGAAUAUUGCACAAUGGGCGGAAGCCUGAUGCAGCAACGCCGCGUGCGGGAUGACGGCCUUCGGGUUGUAAACCGCUUUCGCCUGUGACGAAGCGUGAGUGACGGUAAUGGGUAAAGAAGCACCGGCUAACUACGU
rnacentral:rRNA from 1 species